CUGUAUGAUUUCAGGUUUUGCAUCUGGUAGUUUCUACAAGCUAAAUAAAUUAAGUCCUGGUCAAUAUUUGGAUGGGAGACCUUCAUGGUAAACCUAGGUGCUGUACAUA
rnacentral:rRNA from 1 species